rnacentral:rRNA from 1 species
UACAGGGGGGGCAAGCGUUGUUCGGAAUUACUGGGCGUAAAGGGUCUGUAGGUGGCCAACUAAGUCAGACGUGAAAUCCCUCAGCUUAACUGGGGAACUGCGUCUGAUACUGGAUGGCUUGAGUGCAGGAGAGGAAUGCGGAAUUCCAGGUGUAGCGGUGAAAUGCGUAGAGAUCGGGAGGAACACCUGCGGCGAAAGCGGCUCACUGGACCAUAACUGACGCUGAUGCACGAAAGCUAGGGGAGCAAACAGG